GGAUCGGAGUCUGCAACCCGACCUCCGUGAAGCUGGAUUCGCUAGUAAUCGCGCAUCAGCCAUGGCGCGGUGAAUACGUUCCCGGGCCUUGUACACACCGCCCGUCAAGCCAUGGAAGCCGGGGGCGCUUGAAGUGCGUUGCCGCAAGGCGCGCCCUAGAGCGAAACCGGUGACUGGGGCUAAGUCGUAACAAGGUACC
rnacentral:rRNA from 1 species